ACACGCAAAAACAGCAGUUAAUUUAUUUUCAUCUGUUCGCUUGUUUGAUUUUGUAGGAGCGGAGUCAUGAGUUUUAGUCCUUGGGACUGACAGUUCCAAGCUGGCUGCACACCACUGAGUAUUUCCGUUUUACAGAAAGGGUAUGCUCUGCGAUGAAAUGUUUUGUGAAGUAAUCUAUUGUGUAGACCGUUUGCCCGGAAAAUAGGAGAACCAAUGAUAGUUUGGAAGAUAAAUAGACCUGAGCGCACUGGCUGAUAGGUAAGUGUCAUGCCUUUCUCUUAGGUUUUCUGUGUGUUUUCUCUCAUUAUUAUUAAAUUCUUUCUGAGAAGAAAUUUACUCAAAUAAGAGUUAU
rnacentral:lncRNA from 1 species